rnacentral:rRNA from 1 species
AACGAACGCUGGCAGCAUGCCUAACACAUGCAAGUCGAACGCCCCGCAAGGGGGGUGGCGAACGGGUGAGUAACGCGUGGGAACCUACCCAGCAGUUGGGGAUAACCGCGGGAAACUGCGGCUAAUACCGAAUACGUCCUAAGGGAGAAAGAUUUAUCGCUGUUGGAGGGGCCCGCGUCGGAUUAGCUAGUUGGAGAGGUAACGGCUACCAAAGGCGACGAUACGUAGCUGGUCUGAGAGGAUGAUCAGCCAAACUGGGACGUAGACACGGCCCAGACUCCUACGGGAGGCAGCAGUGGGGAAUAUUGGACAAUGGGGGCAACCCUGAGCCAGCAAUGCCGCGUGAGUGAUGAAGGCCUUAGGGUUGUAAGCUCUUUUACCGGGGACGAUGAUGACGGUACCCGGAGAAUAAGCCCCGGCUAACUUCGUGCCAGCAGCCGCGGUAA